CUUCUUUAUCACCGAGUGCUUGCACUCACCGAUAAAGAGUUGAGUGGCGAACGGGUGAGUAACACGUGGGCAACCUGCCCAAAAGAGGGGGAUAACACUUGGAAACAGGUGCUAAUACCGCAUAACCAUAGUUACCGCAUGGUAACUAUGUAAAAGGUGGCUAUGCUACCGCUUUUGGAUGGGCCCGCGGCGCAUUAGCUAGUUGGUGAGGUAAAGGCUUACCAAGGCAAUGAUGCGUAGCCGAACUGAGAGGUUGAUCGGCCACAUUGGGACUGAGACACGGCCCAAACUCCUACGGGAGGCAGCAGUAGGGAAUCUUCCACAAUGGGCGAAAGCCUGAUGGAGCAACGCCGCGUGGGUGAAGAAGGUCUUCGGAUCGUAAAACCCUGUUGUUAGAGAAGAAAGUGCGUGAGAGUAACUGUUCACGUUUCGACGGUAUCUAACCAGAAAGCCACGGCUAACUACGUGCCAGCAGCCGCGGUAAUACGUAGGUGGCAAGCGUUAUCCGGAUUUAUUGGGCGUAAAGGGAACGCAGGCGGUCUUUUAAGUCUGAUGUGAAAGCCUUCGGCUUAACCGGAGUAGUGCAUUGGAAACUGGGAGACUUGAGUGCAGAAGAGGAGAGUGGAACUCCAUGUGUAGCGGUGAAAUGCGUAGAUAUAUGGAAGAACACCAGUGGCGAAAGCGGCUCUCUGGUCUGUAACUGACGCUGAGGUUCGAAAGCGUGGGUAGCAAACAGGAUUAGAUACCCUGGUAGUCCACGCCGUAAACGAUGAAUGCUAAGUGUUGGAGGGUUUCCGCCCUUCAGUGCUGCAGCUAACGCAAUAAGCAUUCCGCCUGGGGAGUACGACCGCAAGGUUGAAACUCAAAGGAAUUGACGGGGGCCCGCACAAGCGGUGGAGCAUGUGGUUUAAUUCGAAGCAACGCGAAGAACCUUACCAGGUCUUGACAUCUUCUGACAAUCCUAGAGAUAGGACUUUCCCUUCGGGGANAGAAUGACNNNNGNNCAUGGUNNUCGUCAGCU
rnacentral:rRNA from 2 species